GACGAACGCUGGCGGCGUGCCUAAUACAUGCAAGUAGAACGCUGAAGAGAGGAGCUUGCUCUUCUUGGAUGAGUUGCGAACGGGUGAGUAACGCGUAGGUAACCUGCCUGGUAGCGGGGGAUAACUAUUGGAAACGAUAGCUAAUACCGCAUAAAAUGGAUUAUCGCAUGAUAAUCCAUUGAAAGGUGCAAAUGCAUCACUACCAGAUGGACCUGCGUUGUAUUAGCUAGUUGGUGGGGUAACGGCUCACCAAGGCGACGAUACAUAGCCGACCUGAGAGGGUGAGCGGCCACACUGGGACUGAGACACGGCCCAGACUCCUACGGGAGGCAGCAGUAGGGAAUCUUCGGCAAUGGACGGAAGUCUGACCGAGCAACGCCGCGUGAGUGAAGAAGGUUUUCGGAUCGUAAAGCUCUGUUGUAAGAGAAGAACGAGUGUGAGAGUGGAAAGUUCACACUGUGACGGUAUCUUACCAGAAAGGGACGGCUAACUACGUG
rnacentral:rRNA from 1 species